AUCUUGCUGGAGAUCUCUGUGUACCUGAGACCUUCUGAAGGUGAAGAGGAGCCAGACAAAGUCUACUGAGAUUAAAAACACUUUGAAGGCCUCAACAGUUUUAAAAUUCUGCACUCAGUAAACAGAGAUUGCCAAGUGAAUGUAUUUGAUGCAGACCAAUGGAUUGAUGCAGCGGGAGCAGCAGUGUUAAUGUGAGCCACCCAGUUACAAGAGAUGAUGAGCAAAUAUGAGGACUACACUUCCGGAGUGUAAAAUGAUG